GCCAGGAUUAAUGAUUUAUUUGACAGCUGCCUUAUAAAAUAAUACAAACAAAGAAUUUUUAACGAUCAUGAAUGAGAAACUAUCCGUGUCGUGAUAUUCUGUGAACAAAUCACUGGUGCUCCGUCUACUAAAGUCGAGCCCACGGGGCGUUAUCUAACAGGACCGUUACUCAUUUAUGACAGCGCGGCAUGGCUUCAUUUCAUCUUGCUCUUUUAAUGUGCUGAAAGACGCAUCGCUCCCCUCAGCAUCACAUCAGUGCAGAGACCUCAUCGCUUCUCUGCUGAUUUGAGUCCAGUCGAUUGCGUAAGUGAUUUCUAUCCCACCGGAUCGCCAGAGCGUGCUGAAGACAUCACCGUGACAUUGUCUGCGGUUGCAUCAUCCAGGUGGGUGCCGUGGAGAGAAGCUACUACAUGUGCUUUGAGUGUCUGGGUUGAGUGCAAUUCAAAUUCAGUGAUUCAUACGAAUGUUCAAU
ensembl:lncRNA